rnacentral:rRNA from 1 species
GACGAACGCUGGCGGCUUGCUUACCAAAUGCAAGUCGAACGUAAGGUCCUUUUCGGGGUACACGCGUGGGCAACGGGUGAGGAAACCGGGAGUUACCUUCCCAAUACCUUGGGGUAACGGUUGGUAACUGGGGCUAAUACCUGAUAAGUGCUGCUUCUUCAUGGUUGGGGGUGGAAAGGUUCGGUGGUUGUGGUUGGACUGGCGGCCCAUCCGCCUGUUGGUGGGGUUAGGGGCUACCAAAGGAGGGGCGGGUAGCCGGGCGGAGAGGGUGGGCGGACACAUUGGGCCUGGGGAACGGCCCAGGGUCCUGCGGGAGGCAGCAGUGAGGAGUAUUGAACAAUGGGCGCAAGCCUGAUGCAGCAACGCCGCGUGCGGGAUGACGGCCUUAGGGUUGUAAACCGCUUUCAGCAGGGACGAGGCUUUUUGUGACGGUACCUGCAGAAGAAGCACCGGCUAACUACGUG